AAGAUGUAUAAAUGAAGAGACCCAAAACUCAACCUCUGCCUAGAGAAGGAUAUCCAAAUACUAAUGACAGUACUGCCUGCUGGAUAGUAAUUUCUACUUUAUUCCUUGGAGCAGUUGAAGCAGUAGGAUGCUGCAGAGAUGGAGACAUGGAAUCUUAUCUGGGUGGAAAUGGAAAAAGAAGAAAAGGAAGAAAAAGGACGAAGGAAAGGCUUUAAUAGAUAGCAAUGAUUAAAAAGUGAUGGCCUAGAAAGCAUGAACCACAAAGCCUUUUAUUCUCUCCCUUUUUACGUUUGGUUGGGAUUGAAAAGAAGUAGAAUAAUAGAUAGGGUGUGGAAGCUCAAUCUCUGAAGAGCUGAUAACAACAGGAUGUAUAAAGGAUAGUCAUUAGAAGAAACACACGAACUCAAGACAGCCUCAUAGAAACAUUAUGCGUUGAUUCAGGGACUCCCCCAAUACCCCAGUUCUCUUCAAAUUUCCCUCAAAAAGAUGGAAACUUGGAGGCAAAAGCAUCAUUUUUUGUCCCACUUCCUGUCUCAACAGUCAAAAACAAGAAACGCCCACCAUUCUCACCACCACAAACAUCCAAAAUCUGAUAUUUCCACUGUUGGUUUCAAGGUCUCUUUCAGCCUGUAAGCUUUAGCAUCUCCAGAUACCAUUCAAGGAAGAACAGGAACUGGGUCACUGAUGGCAGCCAAGUUUCAGUUUCUGAGUCUGCCAUUGCCACCGUUUGUGAAGAUGGAUAGUCUCCCUGAAUUCUCCUAUGGCAACAUGAAUGAAGAGUAUUGGAAACCUCAAUGAUAUCAUCACACUCUGUUAGAGAGACAAAGAAAAAUAUGAUUAUAAUUUAAAAUCAGAUACACACAUUUUGAAAACAAUAAUUAGUUUAAUGCAUAGGUAGUUGUUGGUUCUGGUCUUC